GACGAACGCUGGCGGCGUGCUUAACACAUGCAAGUCGAACGGAAAGGCCCUGCUUUUGUGGGGUGCUCGAGUGGCGAACGGGUGAGUAACACGUGAGUAACCUGCCCUUGACUUUGGGAUAACUUCAGGAAACUGGGGCUAAUACCGGAUAGGAGCUCCUGCUGCAUGGUGGGGGUUGGAAAGUUUCGGCGGUUGGGGAUGGACUCGCGGCUUAUCCGCUUGUUGGUGGGGUAGUGGCUUACCAAGGCUUUGACGGGUAGCCGGCCUGAGAGGGUGACCGGCGACAUUGGGCCUGAGAUACGGCCCAGACUCCUACGGGAGGCAGCAGUGGGGAGUAUUGCACAAUGGGCGGAAGCCUGAUGCAGCAACGCCGCGUGCGGGAUGACGGCCUUCGGGUUGUAAACCGCUUUCGCCUGUGACGAAGCGUGAGUGACGGUAAUGGGUAAAGAAGCACCGGCUAACUACGUG
rnacentral:rRNA from 1 species